CCUGCCGGCGACCGGCGCACGGGUGAGUAACACGUAUGUAACCUGCCCUAUGCAGGGGGAUAACCCGGAGAAAUCCGGCCUAAUACCGCGUAACACCUUUUGGGAGCAUUCCCGGGAGGUUAGAGGAGAGAUCCGGCAUAGGAUGGACAUGCGUCGCAUUAGGUAGACGGCGGGGUAACGGCCCACCGUGCCGACGAUGCGUAGGGGUUCUGAGAGGAAGGCCCCCCACACUGGUACUGAGACACGGACCAGACUCCUACGGAAGGCAGCAG
rnacentral:rRNA from 1 species